GACGAACGCUGGCGGCGUGCUUAACACAUGCAAGUCGAGCGGUAAGGCUCCUUCGGGAGUACACGAGCGGCGAACGGGUGAGUAACACGUGAGUAAUCUGCCCUUCACUUCGGGAUAACCACCGGAAACGGUGGCUAAUACCGAAUACGACCAGUCUUCGCAUGAGGUGCUGGUGGAAAGUCUUUUCGGUGAAGGAUGUGCUCGCGGCCUAUCAGCUUGUUGGUGGGGGAAUGGCCUACCAAGGCUUCGACGGGUAGCCGGCCUGAGAGGGUGACCGGCCAAACUGGGACUGAGACACGGCCCAGACUCCUACGGGAGGCAGCAGUGGGGAAUAUUGGACAAUGGGCGAAAGCCUGAUCCAGCAACGCCGCGUGAGGGAUGACGGCCUUCGGGUUGUAAACCUCUUUCAGUACCGACGAAGCGCCCUGUCGGGUGGUGACGGUAGGUACAGAAGAAGGACCGGCCAACUACGUG
rnacentral:rRNA from 1 species